rnacentral:rRNA from 1 species
GUGGGGAAUAUUGGACAAUGGGCGCAAGCCUGAUCCAGCAAUGCCGCGUGGGUGAAGAAGGUCUUCGGAUCGUAAAGCCCUUUCGACAGGGACGAUGAUGACGGUACCUGUAGAAGAAGCCCCGGCUAACUUCGUGCCAGCAGCCGCGGUAAUACGAAGGGGGCUAGCGUUACUCGGAAUUACUGGUCGUAAAGGGCGCGUAGGCGGCUCUGUUAGUCAGGCGUGAAAUUCCUGGGCUUAACCUGGGGACUGCGCUUGAUACUGCAGGGCUUGAGGCCGAGAGAGGGUGGUGGAAUUCCCAGUGUAGAGGUGAAAUUCGUAGAUAUUGGGAAGAACACCGGUGGCGAAGGCGACCACCUGGCUCGGUUCUGACGCUGAGGCGCGACAGCGUGGGGAGCAAACAGGAUUAGAAACCCUGGUAGUCC